rnacentral:rRNA from 1 species
AGAAUCAACGCUGGCGGCGUGCCUCAGACAUGCAAGUCGAACGCGGAAGUCCCCUUCGGGGGAUAAGUAGAGUGGCGCACGGGUGAGUAACACGUAGGUAAUCUACCUUCGGGUGGGGAAUAACCCAGGGAAACUUGGGCUAACACCGCAUAAUGCAGCGGCACCACAUGGUGACAGUUGUUAAAGCGGGGGAUUUUAGGACCUCGCGCCUGAAGAGGAGCCUGCGGCAGAUUAGCUAGUUGGUAAGGUAACGGCUUACCAAGGCGACGAUCU